UAGUUUGAACUUUUAUUUAUGUUUAAUUUUUUAAUUUUUACAAGAUGCCGAUAGUAGCUGGCUUAUUAAUGUACAUUAUUCUUUGAUAUUUCAGGAAGCCACAGUGUUCAACUGUGAACUACAGAGUCCUGUAAGUUUAAAAUAACUUUGUUUCUCAACUAUGUGAUAUCCAGGAUUUUUUACAAUUACUUUGAGAUUUUUCCUCAUCAGUAAUGCAAAGAAAAUUGCAAUAUGAUUAUACAAUUUAUUUUUAUUUUUUUAGACAGGUUAUCACUCUGUCGCCCAGGCCGGAGUGCAGGGGUGUGAUUGUAGCUCAUUGCAGCCUCAAACUCCUGGGCUCAGACGAUCCUCCUUCAGCUUCCUAAGUAGCUGAGAUUACAGGCACGUGCCACCAUGCCUGGCUAAUUUAUUUUUUGUAGAGAGAGGGGUCUCACUUUGUUGCCCAGGCUGGUCUCCAACUCCUGGGCUCAAGUGAUACCCAGCCUGGGCCUCCCAAAGUGCUGGGAUUACGGGUAUGAGCCACUGUGCCCAGCCUGAUAUACAAUUUCUUCCUCAGACAGUCUGGCUCUGUCGCCCAGGCUGGAGUGCAGUGCAAGACCUUCUCAAAAAUAAAAUAUGGUCGAAACGGGACAGACAAGGCGGCUACCUGUAACCCUGGCCGCUUUAGGAGCUGGGGCAGGAAAGUUGCUUGAGGCCAGGAAUCCGAGACCAGCCUGAGCAACAGCAGGACCCGUCUAUGAAAAAACAGGAGCAAGUAGUGGCACAUCCCAAUUGUGUCAGCUAACUGGGAGGCUGAGGCAGGAGGAUCGCUUGAGCCCAGGAGUUCAAGGCUGUACUCCAGCCUGGGCGACAAAGCAAGAACCCUGUUCUCUAGGGAAAAAAAAAAAAAAGUCAAAACAUUUCAUAAAACUUUCACACAAUGGAGGUUUAGUUAAGCUGUUACUCUUCUGUUCAAUUUUGUUGCACCUAUCAGAAGGCAUAAUUUCAUAAAAUCAGGAUUCCUUGGCGUUUUAACCACUCUCAAAAUAUUUGAUCCUACUGGAAGUUACUAUGCAAUGCUAUCUUGUCCCUGAAUCAACAUAAUUCAACUAUCAGCUUCAUAUAUAUAUAUAUAUAUAUAUAUUUUUUUUUUUUGAGACAGAGUUUCGCUGUUGUUGCCCAGGCUGGAGUGCAAUGGCGCAAUCUUGGCUCACCACAACCUCCGCCUCCCGGGUUCAAGCGAUUCUCCUGCCUCAGCCUCCUGAGUAGCUGGGAUUACAGGCACGCACCACCACCGCAGCUAAUUUUGUAUUUUUAGUAGAGACAGGGUUUCUCCAUGUUGGUCAGGCUGGUCUUGAACUCCCGACCUCAGGUGAUCCACCCGCCUCGGCCUCCCAGAAUGCUGGGUUUACAGGCAUGACCCACUGUGCCUGGCAGUUUCGUGUAUUCUUACUCCACUGGGUUCUGCUUUAUCGUAUUGACAGUAGACAUUUCAUUAAAUGAAAUGUAAAAAGAACACCAAUACAUACAUAUUAAAAUUUUCUUACUAGAAUCUUUUAGUAUAAUUUAAAAACCUGAAAUGAGAAUUCGCAUCACUUUAAGUGGGCCUCUUGGGUUUUGAGGAUGAAGUGGCUUUCUCUCAGAAAUAGCUUUGAACCGUAACUCUAGUAACUACAGUGGCAGGCUCCAUAGCUUGAACACAGCGUAUUUUGUAUCAAUGCCCACAAAUAAAACCUAUUAUAACUCUUAGGAAAUAAAACUUGAAUCCUGAUUGGCAGAACUGCCUCAGUAAGGGCUGGCUGAACUGCAUACCCAAAAUGUUUUAGAUCUACGGUCCACUUUCACGUUGGCUGGACUAAUGCGUUUCUACUGCUCCUCUUACACGUUGACUGACUUUCCUCUCAGGAAGAGGUAGAGACUAUGUUCCUUUUUUCCUCAAUCUGGGACUUGGUUUCUGAGACAUCACUGUUGUAACCAAGAGCAUGGUAAAAGUGAUGUUAUGUGACAUUGAAGGAUAAGUCCUAAAAAGCCAACUCUGCCAAGCUCUCCUGGAGCCCCAAAAUACCACCUAAGUCCAGCUGCCCUGAAGCCACCAUGCUAGAGAUUUUCGGGAAAGACUAUACCACUAAUAGUGAAAAGCACAAAGAGCAUCCUUUCAGCUCAGAAGUGAAAAGCUUCAUGAGACUCAGAACCAGAAGAGUCUGAUACUCCCGAGUUCUUCACCCACAGAAAAGCUUAUCAUACACCAUUGAUCUUUGGAUGCUUUGCUAACAUAGCAAGAAAUAAUAUACAGUUGAUACUGCUAAGCACCACAGCCACCACUUGGUUGGGUUCAGAAGACAUCCUACUUUACCUUUUUAAAGUUUGGUCCAAAUUUGUACCUACAACUUUUCCUUUUUUCCUGCAGCACAGGUAAAAUGUUGGAACCUUUAACAAGUUCAGGCAAUGAUGAUAUAAAGAAGUUAACAUGCAACUAGCUGCACUGGCUUCUAAAUUGAGUUCACUGACCUUACCAUGAGUUUGUAGUAACAUUUCUCUCCAAUCUCUGAAAAAGUUUUUCUCUCCAGGCCAUCUGUACGCUUUACGUAGGGACUGUUAACCAACCCACGUAUUACACAUAAGGACUCUAGGUAAAAUCUAGUGUUUGAAAAACAGCAUGUUAUAUAUUACACUAGGUUUUUCGUUUUUUUUCCAGUGGUGGGCUGUCAUUACAAAAGAUUGAACUUUUAUACACUUCCUAAUCAAACUUAAGGGGAAUCUAAACACAAAAACUAAUUCACUUUCUAGGAGCUCUUUAAAAAUGGGCUUAAACCUACAAUCCAAUCUCGUAUCUAAGUAUGAUGGAAUGCUUUUUCCCCAGUGGCAUUCAUAUAGUUCAGCUGUCAAGCAGUACCUUUCUUAAAAUACCAGACUGAAAAUAGUUCAAUUUUCUGUAAAAAGUCAGAGCCGGGCACGGUGGCUCAUGCCUAUAAUCCCAGCAGUUUGGGAGGCUGAGGCGGGCGGAUCACCUGAGGUUGGAAGUUCGAGACCAGCCUGACCAACACAGGGAAACCCCGUCUCUACUAAAAAUACAAAAUUAGCUGGGCGUGGUGGCACAUGCCUGAAAUCCCAGCUACUUGGGAGGCUGAGGCAGAACAAUCGCUUGAACCUGGGAGGCAGAGGUUGCCGUGAGGCGAGAUCGCGACACUACACUCGUCUGGGCAACAAGAGUGAAACUCCGUCUCAAAAAAAAAAAAAGUCAGAUCUGUGUAAAGAGAAUUAGUGUACCUGAAAAUUGUUUUCAGCUGUCAAUCACUUUGGUCCUUUACUGUCAUUCUAAGAAUCAGCCUAAUUUGGUU
rnacentral:lncRNA from 10 species